AUCUCUCUCCACGACUGGACAUGUCCACAUGACAAAAAGGGUACUACAUUUUACUUAAACAUUUAAUUACUUCUUCUUGGAUGAUUUCAUAUGGUUGGUAGUUCUUGUCAUACGGAUAGAUAUAACAACUUUUUUGCUUCUAUUGUAAUAUGCAGAUAUUACUGUCUCUGCUAUAAAAGAGGAUAUCGAUGAUGAGGAAGACGAGGAGGAUGGUGCAGACGAAUCUGAUGAAGAAGAAGAGAGCACGGAAGAAUCUGAUGACAAUGAUGCUUAUUGCUGUGGGUGAUUAGGAUGUCGGGCUGCAACUCCAAGCUCUUUUGUUUCAUGUGUCGUGGCAGUCAGUCUCUUUUG
rnacentral:lncRNA from 1 species